UCCUGCCUAGACCCCCUAUAAAACACAGAGGAACUGCCUGUUUCCCUCUCUCUCGCCCUGCUUCCCUGCUUGCCAGCAUCACCACCCUGUGUCCUGCUACUCUUUGUUUCACCACGCAGCCGUAACCCUUGAGGAGGACAAACCACUGCCAUCACAUCUGGUCCAAGAUCUACAAUAACUCAGACUUGGGAGCCCUGUGAAGUUUGCAGAACCAAGCUCUACUCAGCUCCAGGCAUUUAUACAUGACGCAUACACUCAUCAGCUCUCGCUGCUGUUGUUUCUCUGCCAAUCACCUUACUCAACGUGAAGAUGUGUCACAACACUCUGCAAACAUGGAAACAGCCACUUUAAUCAGCCAUAUUUUCCCCAUCUGCAGAGUUGGCUGACAUGGUGACUGUUCUGGUCAGUUGUACAGUGCCCAGAGGCUCUUUGUUUCCCUGAAAGAAUUAUUGUAAGACAGCAGGAAACAACCAAAAUAAAUUCUUAACUUGGAAA